GGCGGUUCUCAGGUGAUGCACCCUGGAAUUGGGCUCCCUCCUCUCUGCUUCUGGGUGCAUCACCAAGAAUUACA
rfam:Myotis davidii contig104887, whole genome shotgun sequence.